CUCGAGGUGCUGCUCGACCGCGAAACGAAAUUUGACUGCGUACGAGGCUCGCUUGCGCCAGACAUUGUUGACCUAAACAGCAACG